AUGAGCGCUUGCGUCUGUACUGUGUUAAAAAAGAAACUGGAGGCCAACAUCCCACAAAAGAUUAUAAUUUUUGGAUGGCGUGCAGCAUCUGAUAGCCUGACGGUUCAGGUUAAUAGAGUUUUACAUCAUCAAGCUACCAUUUGCACUUGCUCUAUCUGCGGGGUUGAGGAUGAGAGUACUUUCCACGCUCUUGUUUCUUGCCCAAAGGCUCGUGCACUUCGUUUGGCAUUGAGGAAAAUGUGGAAUUUGCCAGGGGAAGAGGCUUUUAAUUAUACUGGGCCUGACUGGUUACUUAUUUUAUUAGACCAGUUAAGUUGUUCGCAAAGGGAGCACAUCUUGUUUCUUUUCUGGCGAGUUUGGCACUUAAGGAAUGAGUUGACUUUUGGGAAAGGAAAAUAA
rnacentral:rRNA from 1 species